GUUUGACUGGGGCGGUCGCCUCCCAAAGAGUAACGGAGGCGCGCGAUGGUUCCCUAGGCCUGGAUGGAAAUCAGGCUGAUAGUGUAUUCGCAUAAGGGAGCUUGACUGCAAGACCAACAAGUCGAGCAGGUACGAAAGUAGGCGAAAGUGAUCCGGUAGUAGGACGUGGGUCCGCUAUCGCUCAACGGAUAAAAGUUACGCCGGGGAUAACAGGCUAGUUGCUUCCAAGAGUUCACAUCGACGAAGCNNCGUCGUGAGACAGUUUGGCCUCUAUCUACUGUGGUUGAAGGAAAUUUGAGGGAUGCUGUCCACAGUACGAGAGGACCUGGAUGGACGAACCUCUAGUAUACCUGUUGUCGCGUCAGCGGCAGUGCAGGGUAGCUAUGUUCGGAACGGAUAACCGCUGAAAGCAUCUAAGUGGGAAACCGCUCCCAAGAAAGAUUUCCCUAUGAACCUGCCCGUAGACUACGGGUUUGAUAGGCCACAGGUGUAAGUACAGAGAUGUAUUGAGCCGAGUGGUACUAACAGGUCACUGAUUUA
rnacentral:rRNA from 1 species